UGGGGAAUAUUGCACAAUGGGGGGAACCCUGAUGCAGCGACGCCGCGUGAGCGAAGAAGUAUUUCGGUAUGUAAAGCUCUGUCAGCAGGGAAGAAAAUGACGGUACCUGACCAAGAAGCUCCGGCUAAAUACGUGCCAGCAGCCGCGGUAAUACGUAUGGAGCAAGCGUUAUCCGGAUUUACUGGGUGUAAAGGGAGCGCAGGCGGCAUGGCAAGUCUGAUGUGAAAACCCGGGGCUCAACCGCGGGAGUGCAUUGGAAACUGCCAGGCUGGAGUGUCGGAGGGGUAAGCGGAAUUCCUGGUGUAGCGGUGAAAUGCGUAGAUAUCAGGAGGAACACCGGUGGCGAAGGCGGCUUACUGGACGACAACUGACGCUGAGGCUCGAAAGCGUGGGGAGCAAACAGG
rnacentral:rRNA from 1 species